UACGUAGGGUGCAAGCGUUGUCCGGAAUUAUUGGGCGUAAAGGGCUCGUAGGCGGUCCAUCGCGUCGGGGAGUGAAAAGCUGGGGCUCAACCCCAGUCCUGCUUUCGAUACGGGUGGACUAGAGGUAGGCAGGGGAGAACGGAAUUCCUGGUGUAGCGGUGAAAUGCGCAGAUAUCAGGAAGAACACCCGUGGCGAAGGCGGCUCUCUGGGACGGUACUGACGCUGAGACGCGAAAGCGUGGGGAGCGAACAGG
rnacentral:rRNA from 1 species